CAGUACUUUUAAGAUGCUGCUUCACUGUUUCUACCCUGAAUUAUUUCCAGUGAGAAGUCUGCUGUCCUUCUCUUUUCCCCCAUACAUACUGUAUCAUUUUUGCUGUUUAAGUUUUUCUCUUUUUAAUUUUAUGGUACCACAGAAUAAUUUUACGUGUGUGUUUGUGUGUGUGCACAUGCACACCUAGGCUAGUUUAAUUUCUUGGAUGUUUGCAUUUAUAGUUCUUUUCAGAUUUGGAAAUUUUUCCACUGUUAUUUCUUUAAAUAUUUUUUUCUCUUCCCUCUUUUCUCUCCUUCAAGGGCUCCGAUUAUACUUUUAUUAAGCCAUUUGAAAUUGCACCAGAGAUCACUUUGCUUUAUUAAAUUUCCCCCUUUUUUUCUCUCUGUUUCAUUUUAGAUGGUUUUUAUUACUAUUCAUCUAGUUUAAUAACUCUUUUUUUUUUUUGCAACAUUGAAUCUGCCAUUAACCGUCUGGUAUAGUCUUCAUCUCUAGAAAUUUGAUUUGGAUCUAAUUUAUAUCUUGUAUGUCUCUACUUAACAUAUUUGAUAUUUCCUCUAGCUUCUUGAACAUAUGGAAUACAGUUAUAACAACUUUUUAAUGUCCUUGUAUACUAAUUCUAUCAUCUGUUCCAUUUCUGGGUUAGUUUUAAUUUACUUUUUUCUCCUCAUUCUGGGUAAAAUUUUUUUCCUCUUGGCAUAUCUGGUAAUUUUUUGUUAGAUGGUAGAUAUUGCGAAUUUUACCUUGUUUGCUCUGGGUGUUUUUGCAUUCCCACAAAUAUUCUAGAGCUUCGUUUGGGGGGCAUAAUUAACUUACUUGGAAACAGCUCUAUUCUUUGAGGUUUUGUUUUUAAAACUAUGUUAAGUGGAAUCAGAGCAGCAUUUAAUCUAAGGCUAAUUUUCUCCCACUACUGAGGCAAACAUAUUCCUCCUACCCAAUAUCCCAAGAGUUAUUUGAAACAGUCUGGGUUCUGAGAUGGUUCCCUCUCACGUGGCUCUUUUUCUGGCUUCAGAGGUUUUCCCACAUGUAUGUGCUGAUCAGCACUCGGCUGAGGAGUCAAGCAGCAUUGCCCUGUGGAGCUUUCUCCUCUCUGGUGCUCUCCCCUGGAGACCCCAGCCACCAUGUCUUCCCUGGGCUCCCAGCUCCAGCUCCUCAGUCAGGGAGAUUGUGGUUCAUCUCAUUUCCUUAUCACCUCUCCAGGGGUCACUGGUCUUUGUUGCCUAAUGUUCAAUGUUUUUGAAAAAUCAUUCAUUCAUAUAUUUUGUCGAGAAUCCAUUUGUUUCUAGCAGCAUGGUAAAUGCAGACCCUGUUACUGAGUCUUGGAAUUGUAGGAAGGGGAACUGAGACUCAUUAUUUUAUUUAUUUAUUUUUCUUUUCUUUUUCAAAAAAAAUGUUUUAGUUUUUGUUGUUGUUGUCUUUUGUCUUUUGUCUUAUUAGGGCUGCACGCACAGCAUAUGGAGGUUCCCAGGCUCUUAAUCCAAUAAAAGUUGUAGCCACAGCCACAGCAAGGCCAGAUCCAAGCCAUAUCUACGACCUACACCACGGCUCACAGCAACACCGGAUCCUUAACCCACUGAGCGAGGCCAGGGAUCAAACCCACAACCUCAUGGUUCCUAGUCAGAUUCAUUUCCACUACACCACAAUGGGAACUCCUAAAAAUUUUUUAAUUGUAGUUGAUUUUUUUCUUUUCUUUUUUAAAAAAUGUUUUACUAUAGUUGAUCGAGACUGGUUCUUUUAUUAUCAGAAUAUUGUGAACAUGCCCCAAAGCAUCUAGCCCUACACGUCUGUGGACGCUACCCUGAAAACUUGUCUGUGGAAAAUUCUUCCAAAUUCCAAGCAGCUCAUAAAUGAAAGUAUUCCAUAGGGAUUUUCUCCAACUUGACCAAAAAGUCACACACGCAUCUCCCUAAAUCCAAACUAAACUUGCCCCGUGCUCAGCUCACUUUUGGUCAGGUUUCAAAAAGCCUGUGUUCACCCCAUCAGGGUGAUGGGGGGAUGUCAGGGCAGAAGCAGACAGACCCCUCUGUUGUGUUCAUUGUGUGGCUGGUCACACUUUUAUAAAAUUUGCCAUAAGAGGAUUGUUUGUGCAAUCCUCCACACGUGAGGAACCCUGGAGUGUGGCCUCAUUAGCUUCAAAGUGAAUCUGCCUCUCUGUUAUUCACUUCUAGUGAAAAACCUCAGUCACAACCUGGUCUGUGAAUUUCAGGAUCUGCUAAUGGGUCACCACCCGCCGUCAGACCCUUUGCUCCGCCCGAGUCUUCAGAUGACAGGGCAGCUGGGGUGCCCUCUGCAGGAGGAGGCUGGGGGACUGGGGGCUUGCUGGCUGAGGUGGGGGGGGCUGUCCCUUUUGGUCCUCCGUGCAUUUGGUGGCAGAGAUGAGGGUAGGGAAAAUGUCAGGUGCACCAGAUCCAUUUUUCUCCCACACGUGAUAAAGACACCGGGAUGACACCUUGAUUUGUACUAUUCGAGACAAAUCUGGCAUCUAAGGACGCUGAGACUCGGUCCUCACGAUCUCAGGGAUGAAAAGUAGGUUUCCCAGGCACUGGCACUAGCGUUGGCUCUGCAAGCUGAGGUCGUAGCGCUCACCAACACGCAAUGUCUCUUUCCAGAAUCGAAGACCAGAGACAGAUUAUUGAACGAUGAAAUUUGAUGGGUUUUUUUUUUUUUUUUGAGUUAAGUAAACGAACACAAAGUGUAAAAUACCCUACUAGCUGUUUCACGGAAGACAAUUCUCACCCCUUGCUAGUGGGCCUCUAAGAAAAGUCGAGAACUGCUUCGAGCCAUCCGUACAAUUUGAGAAACACCCGGGGAACUUUUCCCAAUGGGUUGCAUUGAAGAGUUGGAAACGACUGUAGCAGACCCCUAGCAAAAAGCUUUACACAAUUCAGCACUGAAGUUCUUUCCUGGAAACUUAUAUUGGUCCAAAGAAUACAGGUGAAAGGAUGAUGAGAGCUCUAGAACCAUCUUAUAGUGUAUAACAAUCAGGAUACAUUUUUUUGGCCACACCUGCAGCGUAUGGAAGUUCCCAGGCCAGGGACUGAACCCACGUCACAGCUGUAGCCAGAGUCACAGCAGUGACAGUACCAGAUCCUUAAUCCACAGAACCACCAGGGAACUCCUGGAUUUUGUUGUUGUUGUGGGUUUUUUUUUAUUUUGGGGGGGGGCCGCAUCUGCAGCAUAUGGAGGUUCCCAGGUUUGGGGUCAAAUCAGAGCUGCAGUUGCUGGCCUACACCACAGCCACAGCAAAGCCAGAUUUGAGCUGCAUCUGCAAUCUACAGUGUAGCUCAUGGCAACACCAGAUCCUUAACCCACUGAGCAACACCAGGGAUCAAACUCGCAUCCUCAUGGAUACUAGUCAGGUUGGCAACCUGCUGACCCACGACGGGAACUCCCUCCUGGAUUUUUUUUUUUAAUAGCCGUAUUUCCUGUGUCCAUGCUAGUAAUAUAUUAUGCUUCCCAAUAAUUAUUUUUUAAUACAUCAAGGGCAGGGCCACAUUAUAAUUUUAUUGUCUCUAGACAGUUCAGGGGAACUUUCUUCCAUAGAAAUAUUUAAAAUUAUAUUUUACAUUUAAAGUAUAAGAAUCUUUUUCAUUGAAAAAGAAAACUAAAACCCAGGCUGAAUUAAGAAUUAAGACAUUUUCUUCAGCCCUAAAAGCUGUUUUCUUUCCUUCUGAUUUUCAAAGAAAUCAAGAUAUUUUGCGGUUCUCUAAAAGUUCCAUGGACCCUAAACACUGUGUCUGGUAGAUAAAUCACCCCGAGUGAAGGAAGGCAUGAGGCCAGUGACACGCAAGCCACCAGAGAGCAGGUCCCCAGGCAGAGGGAGGGAACUUGGGUUUCCCAGUUUCCUGUGAGAGAAGUUACCUGCUGCGUGACCACCUCCCAACAUUUAGGCUGACUUCUUAGUCUGAUGCCUGAGAUUAGGGAUUCUUCUUGGGGCUUUUUAAUUCUUUUCAAAAAGAAGUAUAAAAUAGCUUUAUUUCUGACUGACAAUGAAUGAGGUGCUCCGAGAUUUCCUACUUAGGGACACUGGAUUCUUGACGAGACAAUCAUUUUCUUUUUUUUUUUUUAAAGUAUAGUUGAUUUUCAGUGCGGGACCAAUUUCUGCAGUACCGCAAAGUGGCCCAGCAUACGUGUAUUCCCUUUCCUAGGUUAUCGUCCAUCCUGCUCCACCCCAAGAGACUGGAUCUCGUCCCGGUGCUGUACAGCAGGACCUCAGGGCUGAACCAUUCGAACGGUUAGAGUUUGCACCUGCUAACCCCAAACUCCCCGUCCAUCUCACUCCCUCCCCCUCCCCCUUGGCAACCACAAGCCUACUCUCUGUGUCUGUGCGUCUGUUCCUGUUUUGCAAAUAGGUUCAUUUGUGCCGAAAUUUUAAAUUCCGCAUAUAAGUGAUCACAUAUCAUAAGUGAUAAAUGGCAUUUGUCUUUCUCUUUCUGACCUACUUCACUUAGUAUGAAAAUCUCUAAUUGCAUCCAGGCUGCUGCAAAUGGCAUGAUUUUGUUCAUUUUUGUGGCUGAGUAGUGUUCCGUUGUGUAUAUAUACCACAUCUUCUUUUUGUUUGGUUGGUUUUUGUUUUUUGCCUUUUCUAGGGCCACUCCUGCAGCAUAUGGAGGUUCCCAGGCUAGGGGUCUAAUCAGAGCUGUAGCCACCAGCCUACACCACAGCCACAGCAAGGCAGGAUCCGAGCCACAUCUGUGUGGUGUAGGCGGCAGACGCGGCUCAGAUCCCGGGAUGCUGUGGCUGUGGCGUAGGCCAGAGUCUGCCCCUCCCCGGAGGGGCCCCCAUUCGAUUCUGAUUUGGUUCUGAUCACCUCACGGAUGACAGCAGUUCCCAAAAUGAACAUGUGCAGCGGGACUGGGUGGCGCGUGGCAGCCGAAGAAGGAGACUUUGUUGGGGUUGGGUCUUCAGGCCCUGGGGGGUCAACACCAAGAUGCCGUCCAGUUGGCAGGUGGGAGGGGGUCUCCUUCCUGUGACCCCGGCCUCCUUUGGCCUUUAGGGCAAGAAGCGGACCGAGCUGCCUGCAGGGAACAGGUCUGCUCCGAGCCCCGCCUGUGCUCUGCCCCUGGACCUACCUGAUCUGGAGGCUUAGCUCUGAGACCCCGGAGAGUGGUCUGCUUGGCUGCCCAGCGCUAAAGAUGCCAGCCUGCCUCCUUGUUCACUGACCCCCUCAGUCCCAGCUUCCUCAGCACCGCGGCGAGGAAGAGGGGUGCUUUGGGGGACAGGGCGCAGAGAUUCUAAUAGAAGGCACAGCGAAAAGGGAGUGGAAAGUCCCUAUUUUUCCCAAGGUGGCGCCAGAAAUUUCAAUCUGGUGAUGUUGGCAUUGAUCCCUGACAGCAUGUCAGUCGGAUCAUUAGGCAGAUGGUUUGCAAAGAUUUAGAAAACAGCAGAGACUCCAGCACGGAAAUCCGUUCCCAAGGCACAUCUCUGGCUUCCGGGUUCUAGACCCGUGGCUCCGGUCACCCAAGAUGUAGCAUCCCCUCCACACCGGCCCCCUAACCCCGGGCAGACCCAUCCCCCAUCUCCCUCUCCCUCCAACCUGCUUUCGGGCCUUCUGCUCAGGAAGGGCUUCACCCUACCCGUGGGGACCCGGCCACCUGCCCCUUCCCCGCUCCCCUUCCCAGGUCCCCCAGCAGGUGCACUUGCCCUCUGGCCUCCCCUCCUCAUCUCUCCCCCAGAGCCUCACCCACCCACCCCCGCGGAAACGUGCCCCACCAAGUGCCCUGGUUGGGCCAGCUCAUGUUUUUCAUGCGCCUUGAAAUUCCCCUGUGCUCUUUCAGGGCAGGCUUGGAUCCCACGGUCUGGGGCGGGGCCUGAGAAUCUGCAUUUCCUACAAGUUCCCAGCCGGUCCCAGGCCAUGCUCUGCACAGCGAGGCUCUGGGCAGCAGAAUAUACAGUCUUCCUCCCUCAGUCCUGGGCCAGUUCCCCACCCCUUAGGGAUAAGACCCCCCUCUCAGCAAGGCCCCCCUCUCAGCAAGGCCACCUUGCAGCAAGGCCCCCUCUGGCCAGGCCACCUCUCAGCAAGGCCUGCCUUCAUCUCCAAACUCACCUCCAUCAGAUCCACCCAACACGGUUCCCAUCAGCCGCCAGGAGCCAGCCCCCCCGUGGGCGGCCGCUCUCACUUCCUGGCCUUUGAAUGCCCUGCACCUUCUCUCCUCUCUCUGCCUGGCCUCCCGCCCCCACGUCCUGUUCAGGUUUGUGUAUUUCUGCUGACACUCAAGACCUGGUUCAAACUGUCCCCGGACUCACGGGCACCCGGAAGGAAGCAGGCUCUCCUUCAUUCAUGCCCCGCCCCCCACACGUGCCACCUUGUUCCGCAGCUAAUGGUUUGGGGGUACCGUGGUCCCUCCCUCUGGACCAGGAGCCCUUGCGCAGGCUUUCCCGUCUCCCCAAGGGCAAGAGCCUGCCCCCUGGUGGUUCACUCCUGGAAGUGAUUCUAGGGAGCAGGUGGGGGCUGGGAGGGAGGCCACCCCCAGAAGGGAUGGGAUUAAGCUCUCCGUGUCUUGGCUCAGGGACCCCCUCCUGCUAGGGCCCAUCUGAGGACAGGCGGAGUGUGGGGGGUUGCCUCUGAGAAGGAAGACGCCGAGAAGGGAGUGCUGGUCCCGCUGGCCCUGCAUCUCCCGUCACCACCCGCCAGGGCUUGGCCCCAGCGUUCUGAUGUCCUGUCAUUUCAAGACUUAUGCGUGUUGCAGAAUGGCUGUGCCGUCCACACGGAGGCGCCAGAGGAAGCUGGGCAGAGAUCCCUGGUGUCACCAGGCAAAGGGCUGCCAGGCUGGGUCCCAGACAGGGCCAAGGGGACAGGUCGAUCAGGAGGGUGGGAGGCGGCCCAAGUCCCUGACAUGGUGGGGAAGGGGGUGCAGCUCCCCUCAGGCAGGGCCCAGAACAGGGACCACCGCCCCGGGCGCAGGGUUGUGACCGCAGGAUGAGGAAAGGAUUAAAGAAGAGCCUUGUUUUCGUUAAGGACCCGGCGGGCAGGCUGACAGCCAGGAACUAGUCAACAUGCGGAAGAGCUUGCGGGAAGGAUGCGAAGCCUGUCCCGAGCCUACGGCCCGAACCCGCAGCCACCGGGGGACCAGCCUCCAAGAACCCAGGCUGAGGACCAGGCCCUUCCUGGCCACCCCUCCUGCUCCAUCCUCCCCGGGCCUCGGCCAGGGCUGACCUUCAGUUCUCAGUCCAAGACUUUUUAAAUCUAUUUACUUAUUUAUUGGCCGUACCCGUGGCACACAGAAGUUCCUGGGCCAGGGAUCGAACCUGAGCCAUAGCAGUGACGAGGCCGGAUCCUUAACCCACGAGGCCACCAGGGAAGUCCUGUUUCAGAGACUUUGAAGUCGGACUGACAGUGAUCCAAUUUACAGAGAAAAUAAAAACUGGAAAAAUAUCAAAUAGAUCAUGGGCAAAGCUAAAGGGAAAGAGAAAGAUGACUUGACGGGGCAGGAAAAAUCAAGGAGUCCGCAGAAGCAGAGCUGGGAGGGAACGAGAGGGAAGCAGGGGCUUGGCGGGCCUUCUGGCGCGCAGACGUUCACGGGUCAAGAGGCAGGAGAGCGAAUUCUGACUCCUCUUUAACCGGAAGUGUGAAUAUGCGAAAUGAAAAACAAGAAUCGCCUCCAUGUGUGUGGUUGUCACAGCAUCACCCUCUAACCCCUGCCGGCCUCCCUGGGACUCCUGUCUCUCCUGGGACGGGAGAAGGCUGAGCUCCCCCUGUGACCCCAUCAAAGCUGGGGGUCCUGGCACUGCCUGUGUCAGCAAGCGCCCGCUGCCGGUCGCCCGUUUUCCAAAAUACUCAAAAUGCGCUGCUUCGCAGGUUUGCUUCUCUUUCUGCUCCUCUCGAUGCGGUUCCCUUCUCAUGAGGGCCCUCAGCAAAGUAAUCUGAACACGAAGCAGAACAGUGAAACACCCAAGACCCGAUCUGGAGCCCGCGGGAAGCAAACCCGUGAAACGGGGCCGCUGCUGAAUUUCCCUCCCAGUCAAGAGGCAGCUGGGGAUUCGCCGGUUACCGUCACAUCUUGGGGUCAACUGGGGGAUGACCUCAGGCUGGCAGUAAAGGCGGAAUUCAAUACUUAGCUGCAGGAUCCUUGGGGAAAUAACCCAAGUUUUCUGUGUUUUGUGUUUUUAAAAGACCAGAACUGGCAGUUUCUGUUGGGAUGCAGAGGAAACGAAUCCGGCGAGUAUCCAUGAGGAUGCAGGUUGGAUCCCUGGCCUCCCUCAGUGGGUUAGGGAUCCAGCGUUGCUGUGAGCUGUGGUGUCAGUCGCAGACGCAGCUGGGAUCGGGCGUUGCUGUGGCUGUGGUGUAGACCAGCAGCUGUGGCUCUGAUUCGACCCCUAGACUGGGAACUUGCGUAUGUCACAGGUGCAGCCCUAAAAAGCAAAAAAAAUUAAAAAAAAAAA
rnacentral:lncRNA from 1 species